rnacentral:rRNA from 1 species
UACGUAGGGACCAAGCGUUGUUCGGAUUUACUGGGCGUAAAGGGCGCGUAGGCGGCGCGACAAGUCACUUGUGAAAUCUCUGAGCUUAACUCAGAACGGCCAAGUGAAACUGUUGUGCUAGAGUGCAGAAGGGGCAAUCGGAAUUCUUGGUGUAGCGGUGAAAUGCGUAGAUAUCAAGAGGAACACCUGAGGUGAAGACGGGUUGCUGGACUGACACUGACGCUGAAGCGCGAAAGCCAGGGGGAGCAAACGGGG